ensembl:lncRNA
GCAACCCAAUAAAUGGAGAACUGGGCUGCCAAGUUUAGAAUGAGACCAAGAGCAAGAUUGACUUGAUGCUGUGUUGGUAAAAUUAGGCACCAUGGGUCCCCAAGUGACCCUCACCUUUCUAAGAUUAAGAGCAGGUCUGCCCUCUAGAACCUGAAGUGGAACUGCACUUAGAAAUGUGCACCAAGUGUGCUGGACCUCCUGGGACUGGUGGAUUUAAGGACAGAAUCAACAAGGGCAUUGAAGGUUUUAACAUUGUUUAUUUUAUAAAUAUCUGCCCAUACCCAUUCCUAUUAGCCCAGAAUUUGACUGGUGUUUUUAUUACUGUCUAGUGGGUAUUCAUUAUUAUUUUCCCGUUUUGGAAACUGCUCUUCCUAGACCUUACAGAGACUUGCUUCCACCAGAAUGAGUGUGAACAUGUGACCCAGACUGGCCAAUCAGAUUACCUCAUCCCUCUAAGGUUGUUCAAGCAUGGGCACAAGAUUCAGUUUGCAGGAACGCUCUGAGCGUUGGCUUCUUCGGCAUGAACGCCAUUUCCACGUGUGCUGAACUGCUCUUGUCGAAGUCACACAGAAUAAUAUACGGGAUGGUGCCAUUUUCGAACUAACAGUCUACAAAAAUUGAGUGAGUGUGCAUCAUUAAGAUGAACCUGCUGAACCGCCAGAAUCCUGAUGGUGAUGAGAAGGUGCUGCCUUCUAAGAGGUCCAGAUGUCUUGAAAACCAGAAAAGAUCCAAAUUUGAAAUGAUGGAGAUGCAAAAUGCAAGGCCCUCAAGAUCACAGGAAUGGCAGAACCUGGACAUCAUCAAGGGUGCCAGACGAUGCCCAGUAACCCAGCAGUGUCUUUGAGGACUAUACAAGAAGAUACUUUGUCACUGAUGGAAGCACCUGCCUCAGGCUCACUGGAACAAAAUCUGUGGCUUCUCUUGUUUGAUCUAAUUCCCGCUGAUCUUUCUGGUGUCUUCUGGUGCUGUUUGUACACCUUUGGCUCCUUAGGAUUCAGAAUCACCCUCAACACUGGAAAGCCUACAGCUAGCGGCCACACCUCAGCAAAAGUGAAGACUACUAGUUUCUGUUGCUUGUUCAUGAGAUCUUUUUCACCUCUUUUGUGAGCAUCAAAGAGAUUGAAAUGAUUUGGACUACCUUCAUUCUCAAAAGCAAUGCACGACUGUAGCUGUGAUAGAGACUGGAGGACCACAAAGAUAUUCACUACCUGCUCUUUUAUAGAAAGUUGGCAACUCUUACUUUAGAGAAUUCACUUGGAUGGUUAACUGACUUGGUACAUGAUGAAAACCCUUUGGAGAAGCCACUCUGCCUCUGCUCUUGCUCUUGGGGUGUUCCUGAGUGAUCUUAAGCAAACGUGCUUCUUAUCAAGGAAAACUGAAGAAUGGUCAUUCCAGUUUUGAAAAGCAAAGCAAAGCUACUGAUGCCACAGGACAUUCAUAAUAAUGACAGUGACAAGACCUAAAGCCUGAGUAACCCACAAAUCUCAAGUCAGCCUUCUCAUCAUCAAAAAUCUGUAAAAUACUUCCAAUUUGAAAAUUCUGGGAAUCCAGGUUUAGCUUUUGAAACUUUGGAAAAUCCUAUAACGUCUCUGUACAAUUAACCACAAAACAGGUCUAUUUACCUCAAUAGUUUGUUGCAAGAAUCAAAUGAAUAAAUGUGAGAGUGGUUU